rnacentral:rRNA from 1 species
UACGUAGGUGGCAAGCGUUGUCCGGAAUUAUUGGGCGUAAGCGCGCGCAGGCGGCCUCUUAAGUCUGAUGUGAAAGCCCCCCGGCUCAACCGGGGAGGGCCAUUGGGAAACUGGGAGGCUUGAGUAUAGGAGAGAAGAGUGGAAUUCCACGUGUAGCGGUGAAAUGCGUAGAGAUGUGGAGGAACACCAGUGGCGAAGGCGACUCUUUGGCCUAUAACUGACGCUGAGGCGCGAAAGCGUGGGGAGCAAACAGG